UGGGAACGUGCCCUUUGGUUCGGGACAGCUCCGGGAAACUGGAGCUAAUACCGGAUACGCCCUUCGGGGAAAGAUUUAUUGCCAAGGAUCGGCCCGCGUCUGAUUAGCUAGUUGGUGAGGUAAUGGCUCACCAAGGCGACGAUCAGUAGCUGGUCUGAGAGGAUGAUCAGCCACACUGGGACUGAGACACGGCCCAGACUCCUACGGGAGGCAG
rnacentral:rRNA from 1 species